rnacentral:rRNA from 1 species
GGUCAAGUGAAGAAGCGCAUACGGUGGAUGCCUUGGCAGUCAGAGGCGAUGAAAGACGUGGUAGCCUGCGAAAAGCUUCGGGGAGUCGGCAAACAGACUUUGAUCCGGAGAUGUCUGAAUGGGGGAACCCAGCCAUCAUAAGAUGGUUAUCUUGUACUGAAUACAUAGGUGCAAGAGGCGAACCAGGGGAACUGAAACAUCUAAGUACCCUGAGGAAAAGAAAUCAACCGAGAUUCCCUUAGUAGUGGCGAGCGAACGGGGACUAGCCCUUAAGUGGCUUUGAGAUUAGCGGAACGCUCUGGAAAGUGCGGCCAUAGUGGGUGAUAGCCCUGUACGCGAAAAUCUCUUAGUCAUGAAAUCGAGUAGGACGGAGCACGAGAAACUUUGUCUGAAUAUGGGGGGACCAUCCUCCAAGGCUAAAUACUACUGACUGACCGAUAGUGAACUAGUACCGUGAGGGAAAGGCGAAAAGAACCCCGGAGAGGGGAGUGAAAUAGAUCCUGAAACCGUAUGCGUACAAGCAGUGGGAGCCCCUUUGUUGGGUGACUGCGUACCUUUUGUAUAAUGGGUCAGCGACUUAUUUUCAGUGGCGAGCUUAACCGAAUAGGGGAGGCGUAGCGAAAGCGAGUCUUAAUAGGGCGUCUAGUCGCUGGGAAUAGACCCGAAACCGGGCGAUCUAUCCAUGGGCAGGUUGAAGGUUGGGUAACACUAACUGGAGGACCGAACCGACUACCGUUGAAAAGUUAGCGGAUGACCUGUGGAUCGGAGUGAAAGGCUAAUCAAGCUCGGAGAUAGCUGGUUCUCCUCGAAAGCUAUUUAGGUAGCGCCUCAUGUAUCACUGUAGGGGGUAGAGCACUGUUUCGGCUAGGGGGUCAUCCCGACUUACCAAACCGAUGCAAACUCCGAAUACCUACAAGUGCCGAGCAUGGGAGACACACGGCGGGUGCUAACGUCCGUCGUGAAAAGGGAAACAACCCAGACCGUCAGCUAAGGUCCCAAAGUUAUGGUUAAGUGGGAAACGAUGUGGGAAGGCUUAGACAGCUAGGAGGUUGGCUUAGAAGCAGCCACCCUUUAAAGAAAGCGUAAUAGCUCACUAGUCGAGUCGGCCUGCGCGGAAGAUGUAACGGGGCUCAAACCAUACACCGAAGCUACGGGUAUCACGUAAGUGAUGCGGUAGAGGAGCGUUCUGUAAGCCUGUGAAGGUGAGUUGAGAAGCUUGCUGGAGGUAUCAGAAGUGCGAAUGCUGACAUGAGUAACGACAAUGGGUGUGAAAAACACCCACGCCGAAAGACCAAGGUUUCCUGCGCAACGUUAAUCGACGCAGGGUUAGUCGGUCCCUAAGGCGAGGCUGAAAAGCGUAGUCGAUGGAAAACAGGUUAAUAUUCCUGUACUUCUGGUUAUUGCGAUGGAGGGACGGAGAAGGCUAGGCCAGCUUGGCGUUGGUUGUCCAAGUUUAAGGUGGUAGGCUGAGAUCUUAGGUAAAUCCGGGAUCUUAAGGCCGAGAGCUGAUGACGAGUCAUCUUUUAGAUGACGAAGUGGUUGAUGCCAUGCUUCCAAGAAAAGCUUCUAAGCUUCAGGUAACCAGGAACCGUACCCCAAACCGACACAGGUGGUUGGGUAGAGAAUACCAAGGCGCUUGAGAGAACUCGGGUGAAGGAACUAGGCAAAAUGGCACCGUAACUUCGGGAGAAGGUGCGCCGGUGAGGGUGAAGGACUUGCUCCGUAAGCUCAUGCCGGUCGAAGAUACCAGGCCGCUGCGACUGUUUAUUAAAAACACAGCACUCUGCAAACACGAAAGUGGACGUAUAGGGUGUGACGCCUGCCCGGUGCCGGAAGGUUAAUUGAUGGGGUUAGCUAACGCGAAGCUCUUGAUCGAAGCCCCGGUAAACGGCGGCCGUAACUAUAACGGUCCUAAGGUAGCGAAAUUCCUUGUCGGGUAAGUUCCGACCUGCACGAAUGGCGUAACGAUGGCGGCGCUGUCUCCACCCGAGACUCAGUGAAAUUGAAAUCGCUGUGAAGAUGCAGUGUAUCCGCGGCUAGACGGAAAGACCCCGUGAACCUUUACUAUAGCUUUGCACUGGACUUUGAAUUUGCUUGUGUAGGAUAGGUGGGAGGCUUUGAAGCGUGGACGCCAGUCUGCGUGGAGCCAUCCUUGAAAUACCACCCUGGCAACUUUGAGGUUCUAACUCAGGUCCGUUAUCCGGAUCGAGGACAGUGUAUGGUGGGUAGUUUGACUGGGGCGGUCUCCUCCUAAAGAGUAACGGAGGAGUACGAAGGUGCGCUCAGACCGGUCGGAAAUCGGUCGUAGAGUAUAAAGGCAAAAGCGCGCUUGACUGCGAGACAGACACGUCGAGCAGGUACGAAAGUAGGUCUUAGUGAUCCGGUGGUUCUGUAUGGAAGGGCCAUCGCUCAACGGAUAAAAGGUACUCCGGGGAUAACAGGCUGAUACCGCCCAAGAGUUCAUAUCGACGGCGGUGUUUGGCACCUCGAUGUCGGCUCAUCACAUCCUGGGGCUGAAGCCGGUCCCAAGGGUAUGGCUGUUCGCCAUUUAAAGUGGUACGCGAGCUGGGUUUAGAACGUCGUGAGACAGUUCGGUCCCUAUCUGCCGUGGACGUUUGAGAUUUGAGAGGGGCUGCUCCUAGUACGAGAGGACCGGAGUGGACGAACCUCUGGUGUUCCGGUUGUCACGCCAGUGGCAUUGCCGGGUAGCUAUGUUCGGAAUAGAUAACCGCUGAAAGCAUCUAAGCGGGAAACUAGCCUCAAGAUGAGAUCUCACUGGAACCUUGAGUUCCCUGAAGGGCCGUCGAAGACUACGACGUUGAUAGGUUGGGUGUGUAAGCGCUGUGAGGCGUUGAGCUAACCAAUACUAAUUGCCCGUGAGGCUUGACCAU